CGGAGGAAAAGAAACUAACAAGGAUUCCCCUAGUAACGGCGAGUGAAGAGGGAAGAGCCCAAGAUUGAAAGCUGGCGUCUUCGGCGUCCGCAUUGUAAUCUCAAGAAGUGUUUUCCGCUUCGGACCAAGCCUAAGUCCCCUGGAAAGGGGCAUCAUAGAGGGUGAUAAUCCCGUACAUGGCUUGGAGCGCCCGUAGCUUUGUGAUACACUUUCUAAGAGUCGAGUUGUUUGGGAAUGCAGCUCAAAAUGGGUGGUAAAUGCCAUCUAAGGCUAAAUAUUGGGGAGAGACCGAUAGCGAACAAGUACAGUGAUGGAAAGAUGAAAAGAACUUUGAAAAGAGAGUUAAACAGUACGUGAAAUUGCCAAAAGGGAAGGGUAGGAGGUCAGAGAUGCGGCCUAGGAUUCAGCCUUGCUUUUGCUUGGUGUUUUUCCUAGAUUGCAGGCCAACGUCGGUUUUGGGCACUGGAGAAGGGUGGAAGGAACGUGGCACCUCUCGGGGUGUGUUAUAGCCUUCUACUGGAUACAGCGACCGAGACCGAGGACAGCAGCGUACUCGCAAGAGCGGGCCUUCGGGCACC
rnacentral:rRNA from 1 species